CCACAGUGAAGAAUCCAAAGGAUAAUGCCAUCUUGACUACAAAUCCCAGAUCUCUAUUACUGAUUAUGACCAAGCUGAUAGUAAAUCGGAGGAAACAGUCCAAUGUUCCCUAGUAUAUGAAGAAGUAGAGAUAGAGAGGGAUGUUGGUGAUGUUGGAUCCUAAUUUCAGUUCCUAUCUCACCACAGGACCUUGGCCUUCAAAAUUCUUAUGACCUAUUCAACUAAGUACUAUUUGGAAAAAUGUCACUUCAAGUCAGUACCUAUUUGUAACCAUAAGGAUUGUCUUCUUGCUUCCAGGAAUAGCACAGUGGUAUCGG